rnacentral:rRNA from 1 species
UACGUAGGGUGCAAGCGUUAAUCGGAAUUAUUGGGCGUAAAGCGUGCGCAGGCGGUGAUGUAAGUCAGAUGUGAAAUCCCCGGGCUCAACCUGGGAACUGCAUUUGUGACUGCAUCGCUGGAGGGCGGCAGAGGGGGAUGGAAUUCCGCGUGUAGCAGUGAAAUGCGUAGAUAUGCGGAGGAACACCGAUGGCGAAGGCAAUCCCCUGGGCCUGCACUGACGCUCAUGCACGAAAGCGUGGGGAGCAAACAGG